AAAAAGUUCGUCGCUUUAGAGAACAGCAAGAAAUUCAAGCCGAACAGCCGAAAACUUAUAAGUGACAAAAUCGGUGUACGAAUGGCAGCCAAACACUGGAAUGCUGCAGAUAUAAGCCUUGGUGAGAAAUGUAAAAAUCUUGAAAAAGAUUGUAUGAAUGCCCCCCUCCACUGCUUGGGAGUUCAUGACGAAUGUUCUGAAUACUUUUGUACAAAAACUACAUCGCCUGAAGCACGAGAUAAUCUCACUUUAUUGAAAAGCGAGGGAUUGUUAUACGAGAUACUUGGUUUGUGUCAACAUUAUUUUGCAAAUAAGGCAAAGAGUUUACUUGCUGGAUACGACACAAAUGUGGUGGAAGGAUUUAACAGCAUAAUCGCUAAGCAUUUAGGUGGUAAACGUGUCAACAAUGUUUUGGCUGGAUCGUACAAGUCAAGAACUGCGAUGGC